rnacentral:rRNA from 1 species
CCCGUCACACCAUGGGAGUCAGUUGCUCUAGAAGUCGGUGCGCCAGCCUCGCGAGGCAGCCGCCUAAAGAGUGACUGGUGACUGGGGUG